GAAAGAAAAACAGAUGUACAACAUUUAUCAAAUUAUAUAUAAAUACAAUACUAUAAAAUCUCAUGUAUUCACAAUUAUUCAUGCCUCCUUUCAUAUGCAUCAUGAGUCCAACAUUAAAAGAAUUGCAAUUACUCAUCAUUCCCUAGAAGGCUACCAGCAGGAUUAGAAACGGUAAGGUUAGAGUAGCAAUUUUAUCGAGAUAUGGAUGACAAAUUAAACAUUAGUAAGGCUAGACUAGACAUGGCCU
rnacentral:lncRNA from 1 species